rnacentral:snRNA from 1 species
GUGCUCGCUUCGGCAGCACAUGUACUAAAAUUGGAACGAUAGAUUAGCAUGGCCCCUGCGCGAGGAUGACACGCAAAUUCGUGAAGCUGUCCAUAUACAG